GCUUGUGUGGCUCAGUUGGUAGAGCAUGGCACUUGCAAUGCCAGGGUUGUGGGUUUGAUUCCCAUUGGGGACC
rnacentral:tRNA from 1 species